rnacentral:rRNA from 1 species
UACGUAGGGUGCGAGCGUUGUCCGGAAUUAUUGGGCGUAAAGAGCUCGUAGGCGGUGUGUCACGUCGGCCGUGAAAACCUGCAGCUUAACUGUGGGCGUGCGGUCGAUACGGGCAUCGCUGGAGUUCGGCAGGGGAGACUGGAAUUCCUGGUGUAGCGGUGAAAUGCGCAGAUAUCAGGAGGAACACCGGUGGCGAAGGCGGGUCUCUGGGCCGAUACUGACGCUGAGGAGCGAAAGCGUGGGGAGCAAACAGG